rnacentral:rRNA from 1 species
CCUACGGGAGGCAGCAGUGGGGGAUAUUGCACAAUGGGGGGAACCCUGAUGCAGCGACGCCGCGUGGGUGAAGGAGCGUUUCGGCGCGUAAAGCCCUAUCGGCAGGGAAGAAGCUGACGGUACCUGGCCAAGAAGCCCCGGCUAACUACGUGCCAGCAGCCGCGGUAAUACGUAGGGGGCAAGCGUUAUACGGGUUUACUGGGUGUAAAGGGGGCGCAGACGGCAAUGCAAGCCAGGAGUGAAAGCCCGGGGCCCAACCCCGGGACUGCUCUUGGAACUGCAAGGCUGGAGUACAGGAGGGGCAGGCGGAAGUCCUAGUGUAGCGGUGAAAUGCGUAGAUAUUAGGAGGAACACCGGUGGCGAAGGCGGCCUGCUGGACUGUGACUGACGUUGAGGCCCGAAGGCGUGGGGAGCAAACAGGAUUAGAUACCCCUGUAGUC